UUGUUCCCAGUCUGCAGUAUGUUGUCUUGCUCGUCCAACCUGAACCGAUAGAGAAAGUUCCCUGUAGCACUUUAUUUGUGAGGAUAUAACAUGAGUCAACAACAAAAUUAUCACUGUUAUUCAUGGCAAGAUAACAGAUCAUUCUUAAAUAUAUAUUUUGUUGGUUGUUGCAAGAUAACAGAUAAAUUCUUAACAGAUCACUGUUAUUCAUGGAAAGUAAUACCAAUAUGGGCUUACAAGUUUGGACAUGUUUCUUUGCAACAACGAUGAAGACACCACAGACUGCUUGGCCUCCUGGUCCCCACGAUGCUUUAACUAUCUUGGAUAUGUAAGAAAAAGAAUGCCAAUGAGGGCGUCACUUGCUACAAAUUCAUGACUUCAAAGAAACGCAAUAACACAUUAGAUGGUUCAGUACAAAUCAUUUCUUCACUUGCAGUACCAUGUAAAACACUGAAUAGGUAUGCAUCACUCAUCAUUUCAAAAAGACUCUGAACAAAAACAUUCAAAACUUCUGACUCCACAAAGACUUAAGAAAUUAGAGUGCCUAAAUCUUUAUGCAGAACCGGGGACAUCUUACUUAUUAGUUAGAAAAUCACUAUAAUCAAGUGGCCCAAUUACAUGAAUACAAUCAGUAUCAAUUAUAAGUAUGAAACGUGAAACUUUCUGAAAUGAUCAAUACUUAUUAGGUCUCAGACUAUACAUAUAGAAACUUGAGACUGCAAACAUGGACGAUUGACUUUGAAACUCCACUCAAAUCAUCCCAUUAUGUAAGCAUGCUCAGUUAGCAACAGUAAAACAAAUUACAGAAUCAGAAUCCUCACACAUUAUUUAGAGAGUACCUUAUUUUCUGUUCUUGUUACACUGGAAGCAAUGUACACUCUGAAUGAAAAAGAAACAACACGUGAUUGAUAUGGUCGUCAUAUAUGAAAUAUGGCAGUAUGUGACAAAGUAUAUAAAGCCGUAGAUUUUGAUGUAAUACUGAUAUUCCGUCAUCCAAACUCAUAUAACAGUUGCUCACCUGCAAAUCCUUCAGUAGUUGUGCUAACAUAUGAAACAUCUUCUUGAUCUCCCUAACCUGAAUUCUACGAUAACACAAAGCUGAACUCGAAAAAUAAAAUCACACCGUAGGACAUCUACAGGCUAUGUUUAAAAAAAAAGAGAAUCGAAAACACAUACAAAGGCUACGCAGAGCUCAAUACAUCGCCUUGCAGACCUAGCUCAAUAUCAGUAUUUCUUCAGGCCCAUUCCUCUUUGCUGAUCUCAAAUUAGUCAUAUUAAAUGCUACUGAGCAAAGAUAGCAAGAUAAUUUGAGAAUUACAUACUAUUGCCAAGGGGACAACAAUGUAUGGCAACUUCUCUAUCCACAUGUGAAAUAAAAAGAGAUACAUGUUGUUGACAUGAUAUGUACUGUAUAAAAUUUCAGCAUUCAAGUAGUUGCUCAUAGAAAGCAAACCAUCACAAUUUGCACAAUUCCAACCAGCCAUAUAAGUACACAUACAGAUUUCUAGAAAGACUCGUUCAAAGCAAAACAUACAAAUUGAACACGGUUUCCUUGAGAAGACCAUUCAAAGCAAAACCAUCAAACUGGCAUCGGCGUACAAAAUUCAGUGCAGAUGCAAGAGAAAUCCCACAAAAAAAUUGCUGCGCUGGAAUUGAUUGUUGAAGCAAAUUUACUUUGCCAUACCUAAUACUACACGUUACUGCUAGUAUAUAUAAGCAUCAGAGAUUGCUCACAAGGGCAGAACUGCACACCAUUCUAUUUUCAUAUUCCAGCGAUUAUAAAAUAAUGUCAUAUGGAGAAUACAGAGAAAAACCAAUUUUCACAUAGCCCAAUAUGACCAGAAACCACAUACGGGGAGCAAAUCAUCAUUUGUCGACAUAGAAAUUAGUCUGCUACUUCUCUUUGUCGGCUCAACAUUACCAAUGUUAUUAUGUGCUAUCAGCAGAAAACAAGAACCGAGAGAGAUGAAAUUCAGUUUGCAUCCAAAGCUCACUUCAUUCCACACGGCCAGAGGUCUCCCCGUCCCAAAACAUGCCUCCACCAGCAGAGCACCCGUGCUCCCCGUUCCUCACUGUCGAAGCUCCCCAUUCCCCGCCAGUCCACGGUCACGGGCUCACGGCGACCCCGGCGGGGAAGAGAGAGGGAGGCGGGGAGAGUGGGAAGAGAUGUACCUCGAUAGCACAGGUGCCCUUGCUUAGCCGUCGCCGCCCAGAUCCAAAUCGUGCCUCCUCCCCGAUCUAGGACAGUAGGACGACCUUCCAAGGCCAGAGUCGCGGUGGCAACCAGGCGCGCCGAAGUGGUGCUCAAUGGUGGUGGCCUCUUGUCCAGGAGGCGGCGGAGGUGGUGGCGGCACGGGAGAUCGGCGGCGCUGGGAUCGCUUGGAGGUGAUAUGGUGGACGGGACUAUGGGGACGACGCAAUUUGGGGAAUUUGGGAAGAUGGAAAGGACUGGGGCAGAGGAAAUAGCGGGAUAAACAUGUCAUUAACGCGAUUCAGGUGGAUUUUAUCCGCGUUAUGGGCGGGGCCGUGCGGAUCGAGA
rnacentral:lncRNA from 1 species